rnacentral:rRNA from 1 species
CCCUUAGAUGUCCUGGGCUGCACGCGUGCUACAAUGUUGCAUGCAGCGAGUCAUAACGUACAAGUUUUCCUCCAUCGAAAGAUGUGGGUAAUCUCAAAAUUGCAACAAGCUUGGGCUUGACCAUUGCAAUUGUUGGUCACCAACGAGGAAUUCCUAGUAAAUGCAAGUCAUCAUCUUGCGUUGAUUACGUCCCUGCCCUUUGUACACACCGCCCGUCGCUUCUACCGAUGAAUGAUCUGAUGAACGGUUUGGACAGAGGUUGCUCGUCAUUUCGGCGUUGCACUCUGGAAGAUCUGUAAAUUGUAUCAUUUAGAGGAAGAAGAAGUCGUANCA